rnacentral:rRNA from 1 species
CCUACGGGAGGCAGCAGUGAGGCAUAUUGGUCAAUGGGCUUGCGCCUGAACCAGCCAAGUCGCGUGAGGGAAGACUGCCCUAUGGGUUGUACACCUCUUUUGUCAGGGAGCAACGCCGGCUACGUGUAGCCGGACUGAUAGUCCCUGAAGAAAAAUCAUCGGCUAACUCCGUCCCAGCACCCACGGUAGUCCGGGGGAUGCGGGCGUUACCCGGAUUUUUUGGGUUUAAAGGAUGCGAAAGCGGAAUUCCAAUUCGUCGGUAAACUCGCGGGGCUAAACCUCGCCCCGCCGUUGAAACUGGCGGUCUUGAGUGGGCUAGAAGUAGGCAGAAUGCGUGGUGUAGCGGUGAAAUGCAUAGAUAUCACGAAGAACUCCGAUUGCGAAGGCAGCAUACCGGCGCCCAACUGACGCUGAAGCACGAAAGCGUGGGUAUCGAACAGGAUUAGAUACCCGUGUAGUC